UAUAGCCAUGCGGGUAGCUACACAUGCAGCCGAGCGGUAUAGUUCCUUCGGGAACUUGAGAGCGGCGUACGGGUGCGUAACACGUGUGCAACCUACCUUUAUCUGGGGGAUAGCCUUUCGAAAGGAAGAUUAAUACCCCAUAAUAUAUUGAAUGGCAUCAUUUAAUAUUGAAAACUCCGGUGGAUAGAGAUGGGCACGCGCAAGAUUAGAUAGUUGGUGAGGUAACGGCUCACCAAGUCUGUGAUCUUUAGGGGUCCUGAGAGGGAGAUCCCCCACACUGGUACUGAGACACGGACCAGACUCCUACGGGAGGCAGCAGUGAGGAAUAUUGGACAAUGGGUGAAAGCCUGAUCCAGCCAUCCCGCGUGAAGGAUGACGGUCCUAUGGAUUGUAAACUUCUUUUGUACAGGGAUAAACCUACCCUCGUGAGGGUAGCUGAAGGUACUGUACGAAUAAGCACCGGCUAACUCCGUGCCAGCAGCCGCGGUAAUACGGAGGGUGCAAGCGUUAUCCGGAUUUAUUGGGUUUAAAGGGUCCGUAGGCGGACCUGUAAGUCAGUGGUGAAAUCUCAUAGCUUAACUAUGAAACUGCCAUUGAUACUGCAGGUCUUGAGUAAAUUUGAAGUGGCUGGAAUAAGUAGUGUAGCGGUGAAAUGCAUAGAUAUUACUUGGAACACCAAUUGCGAAGGCAGGUCACUAAGAUUUAACUGACGCUGAUGGACGAAAGCGUGCGGAGCGAACAGGAUUAGAUACCCUGGUAGUCCACGCCGUAAACGAUGCUAACUCGUUUUUGGAUUUUCGGAUUCAGAGACCAAGCGAAAGUGAUAAGUUAGCCACCUGGGGAGUACGACCGCAAGGAUGAAACUCAAAGGAAUUGUUCGGGGCUCCGCACAAACGGUGCAUGAUGUGGUUUAAUUCCAUGAAACCCCAAGAACUUUACCAUGAUUUAAAUGGGAAAUGACGGGGUUAUGAAUUAAACCCCUCUUCCCGCAAAUUCCUAAGGUACUGCAUGG
rnacentral:rRNA from 1 species